AAGUGUUUCAGAGAGAAUCUGUGGUGUGUAAGCAUAAGUGUGUUUAGACACAAGACUUGACACCCACACAGAUAGAGAGAAGACACCCCAGCAACUGGACAGGGACCAUGGAGAGGAAACUGGGAACUGUGCUGGGAAUUCUCUGUGUGCAGAUUUGCUGGGUGAGGGGAGUUGAGGUGAAGCAGAGUCCUUCAGCCCUGAGUCUCCACGAGGGAAACAGUUCUACUCUGUCAUGCAAUUUUUCCACAACCAUGACAACUGUGCAGUGGUUCCGGCAGAAUUCCAGAGGCAGCAUCAUCAAUCUUUUCUACCUGGCUCCAGGAACAAAGGAGCAUGGGAGGUUAACGUCAACAUUUGACUCCAAGGAGCGCUACAGUACCCUGCACAUCAGGGAUGCCCAAUUGGAGGACUCAGGCACCUACCUCUGUGCUGCGAGUGCACAGUGCUCCCCGCAGGCAUGCAGCCUGUCUGCAAACUGCAGCUGGGUGUGCAGCUACAGCCCUAACAUUAGGAGACUCUGCAGGAGGUUUUUCACAGAUGUGGCUUUAUCAGAUCUCCAGCAAUUACAAAGAAGGUGUGAGGAAAUACAAAAAUACCACAACUUAAACUCAAAUUGACAUGAUACUGACUUGAGGAAGCUUAAAUUUCAGAAACAUCCCCUACAUUACUAACAUGUACACUUUUAUUUUAUCAAAUGUUUAUGAUAAUGGCAUGAAAUAGAAAUCUUUCUUGCACGUUCUAGAAUUAUUUGGAUCAUUUCUCAAAAUUGGAAACUCAAAGUAACUAUUUCCAUCCUGUGUUUAGAGAGCAUAAGACAACACUUCCAACUAAUCUGCUCAAUAUUAAGUUGAUAAAAGAAUUAAUUUAAAGAUCAAAUAAAUUAAUUUUUAGAAAU